rnacentral:lncRNA from 1 species
UGGUGAAGAUAUUCAAGAAGGAAGACUACAUGAUGACUGCAUUGAAUAGGCUAUCAGCUUACUAUGCUCAAAGGCGAAACAUUAACUCUAGAUCUCAUAAAAUUAGACAAAGUAUGGCUCAGAGGAUGGAGGUUGCUGACUGGAGAACAAGACCUGCUGAUUGGAAAAUUGUGAAGAUUUUCCAUCUUUCCCUCUUUGUACAAAUACAUUGACCUCCCUUGGGAUUAAAUAACCUGAUAGUUUCCCUUUAAUGUUGCAGUCAAAAAGAACCCUGAAAUUUCAGGAGACCUAUAUCUAAAACCCAACUCUAAUAUUAACUAGCUAGCUGACCAUAGCUAAGUCAUUUUAUCCCUAAAUGUGUAUGUGAAUGGUUAAAACCACAGAUAUAAAAGGAUAACUGCUGACCAUAUAUAUUCAUUUUUCUUGUCCACACAUAUAUAAUGAUGUUUAAUUGAUAAAUACAUAGCAAGACAUUACCAACAUUAAAUACAGUAAUAAUAAUGUGCAUUGCACAUUAUUUUACGAUACUAUACAGUAAUCCCCUUGUGGGUGCCUAAAACUAUGGACAGUUCUUGCUUUAACUUUUAACACCUAUGUUACCUAUGUUAACUGGGUUCUCUCCCUGCUCUUGCCUUUCAGCUCAUUGCUCAGCAGCUUCCCACACCACCUUCCCUAAAAUUGCUAAAAAUAAUCCCUCCAAGUCAAAGUAGAAAAACUAUCAGUCUCUACUGGACAGUCCAGUCUGGUGGAAGGACCUCCAAGCAAAGAGAGGAGACCUUUGCCUCACACCACCCACCUCUCCACCAGUCUGUCCAAGUGUAUCCAUCUUCCAUCUAUCUACAUUUGGGUCCAGCCCUCCACAUGUCCCUGAAUACAUACAGGCUCCCUCUCUCAUCCAAUUACCCUUUGCUGCUUCCCCCCUUCCCCUGGAAUGACCAUGGGUAACUGAAACCAAGGAGUCAAAUUGCAGAUAAGGGGGAUUACUCUGUCUGUGUGUAUAUAUGCAUGUGUACCUUCCCUUUUCAUCCUUUUUUCCUUCUAGAGCUUAUUUUGCUUUCUGUAUUGCCAUUUGUUUUUAAAAGAAACCUUUUCUCUGAAAUAUUUGUUUGUACGUAUCCCUGAGUAAUUACAUGAAUCUGAAACUGAAGCCAUGGAGAAAGAGACAGAGACAGAUGGACAGACAGAAUGUGGUGAGGAGAGAAAUGGGAGGGA